AUUACCCACUCCCGNNNCGGGGAGGUAGUGACGAAAAAUAACGAUACGGGACUCAUCCGAGGCCCCGUAAUCGGAAUGAGUACACUUUAAAUCCUUUAACGAGGAUCAAUUGGAGGGCAAGUCUGGUGCCAGCAGCCGCGGUAAUUCCAGCUCCAAUAGCGUAUAUUAAAGUUGUUGCGGUUAAAAAGCUCGUAGUCGGAUCUGUGUUCCGCGCCGCCGGUUCAUCGUUCGCGGUGUUAACUGGCGUGUCGUGGAACGUCCUGUCGGUGGGCUUAGCUCUUCCGGGGCGGCCCAAUCAAUCCCGCCGCGGUGCUCUUCAUUGAGUGUCGAGGUGGGCCGACACGUUUACUUUGAACAAAUUAGAGUGCUUAAAGCAGGCUAAAACUUCGCCUGAAUACUGUGUGCAUGGAAUAAUGGAAUAGGACCUCGGUUCUAUUUUGUUGGUUUUCGGAACCCCGAGGUAAUGAUUAAUAGGAACGGAUGGGGGCAUUCGUAUUGCUGCGUUAGAGGUGAAAUUCUUGGAUCGCAGCAAGACGGACAGAAGCGAAAGCAUUUGCCAAAAACGCUUUCAUUGAUCAAGAACGAAAGUUAGAGGUUCGAAGGCGAUCAGAUACCGCCCUAGUUCUAACCAUAAACGAUGCCAGCUAGCGAUCCGCCGACGUUCCUCCGAUGACUCGGCGGGCAGCUUCCGGGAAACCAAAGCUUUUGGGUUCCGGGGGAAGUAUGGUUGCAAAGCUGAAACUUAAAGGAAUUGACGGAAGGGCACCACCAGGAGUGGAGCCUGCGGCUUAAUUUGACUCAACACGGGAAACCUCACCAGGCCCGGACACCGGAAGGAUUGACAGAUUGAGAGCUCUUUCUUGAUUCGGUGGGUGGUGGUGCAUGGCCGUUCUUAGAGUUGGUGGAGUGAUUUGUCUGGUUAAUUCCGAUAACGAACGAGACUCUAGCCUGCUAACUAGGCGUAUUAGACAUCUCAAGGCCCGCCGGUCCGGAACUUGUUCCGUGUCUGGCGCGGUUUUUACUGUCUGCGUACACUAUGUUCUUCUUAGAGGGACAGGCGGCUUCUAGCCGCACGAGAUUGAGCAAUAACAGGUCUGUGAUGCCCUUAGAUGUUCUGGGCCGCACGCGCGCUACACUGAAGGAAUCAGCGUGUCCUCCCUGGCCGAGCGGCCCGGGUAACCCGCUGAACCUCCUUCGUGCUAGGGAUUGGGGCUUGCAAUUGUUCCCCAUGAACGAGGAAUUCCCAGUAAGCGCAAGUCAUAAGCUUGCGUUGAUUACGUCCCUGCCCUUUGUACACACCGCCCGUCGCUACUACCGAUUGAAUGAUUUAGUGAGGUCUUCGGAUCGGUACGCGGUGGCGUUUCGGCGUCGCCGAUGUUGCUGAAAAGAUGACCAAAACUUGAUCAAUUAGAGGAAGUAAAAGUCGUAACAAGGUUUCC
rnacentral:rRNA from 1 species